rnacentral:rRNA from 1 species
UUAUGCUAAUAAGAGCGUAUGGUGGAUGCCUUGGCACUAAGAGCCGAUGAAAGACGUGAUAAGCUGCGAAAAGCUUCGGGGAGGAGCAAAUAUCCUAUGAUCCGGAGAUCUCUGAAUGGGGAAACCCACCUGAGCAAACCUCAGGUAUCCUAACGCCAAUACAUAACGUUAGGAGGGGAACCCGGUGAACUGAAACAUCUAAGUAGCCGGAGGAAGAGAAAACAACAUGUGAUUCUGGAAGUAGCGGCGAGCGAAACCGGAAGAGCCCAAACCGGAGUGCGUGCACUCCGGGGUUCGGACCGCGGAAUUGAUCCAAAAGACUUAACAGAACGGCCUGGGAAGGCCGGCCAGAGAGGGUGAAAGCCCCGUAAGUGAAAGGUCGAUUGGCAUGGCGGUAUCCAGAGUAGGUCGAGACACGUGGAACCUUGACUGAAUAUGCGGGGACCACCCCGUAAGGCUAAAUACUCCUUAGUGACCGAUAGCGCAUAGUACUGUGAAGGAAAGGUGAAAAGGACCCCGGGAGGGGAGUGAAAAAGAACCUGAAACCAUAUGUUUACAAGCUGUGGAACCACUUUAAAUGUGGAACCGCGUACUUUUUGUAGAACGGUCCGGCGAGUUACGCUGGCUGGCGAGGUUAAGUCCUUAAGGGAUGGAGCCGAAGGGAAACCAAGUCUGAAUAGGGCGAAGAGUCAGUCGGAGUAGACCCGAAACCGGGUGACCUAUCCAUGUCCAGGAUGAAGUUGCCGUAAAAGGCAAUGGAGGUCCGAACCCACAUCCGUUGAAAAGGGUGGGGAUGAGGUGUGGAUAGGGGAGAAAUUCCAAUCGAACCCGGAGAUAGCUGGUUCUCCUCGAAAUAGCUUUAGGGCUAGCCUCAUACAAGUCUUGCGGAGGUAGAGCACUGAAUUUCCUAGGGGGCGUCAAAGCUUACCGAAGAAUAUCAAACUCCGAAUGCCGCGUAGAUGGUGUAUGGGAGUCAGACUGCACGAGAUAAGUUGGGUAGUCAAAAGGGAAAGAGCCCAGACCUGCAGCUAAGGUCCCAAAAUGUGUGUUAAGUGGAAAAGGAUGUGGGAUUUCGAAGACAACUAGGAUGUUGGCUCAGAAGCAGCCAUACAUUCAAAGAGUGCGUAAUAGCUCACUAGUCGAGAGGUCCUGCGCCGAAAAUGUCCGGGGCUGAAACACACUACCGAAGCUCAGGAAUGUACUUGUACAUUGGUAGAGGAGCAUUGUAUACGGGAAGAAGCAGUACCGAUAAGGAGCUGUGGACUGUAUAGAAGAGAGAAUGCCGGAAUGAGUAGCGAGAGGAAGGUGAGAAUCCUUCCGGCCGAAUAUCUAAGGUUUCCAGAGUAAAGCUGAUCUGCUCUGGGUAAGUCGGGGCCUAAGGCCAGGUCGAAAGACGUAACCGAUGGACAACAGGUUGAAAUUCCUGUACCGCGAUAUAACAGAACUGUGGGGACACGUGUGGAGAGCACAAGCCGGGAAUGGAAAGCCCGGCGCAAGCAAGGUAGGAGUCGUACUGGCAAAUCCGUACGGCAAUCCGAAGAUGUGAUGCGUACCGAAAUAAGAGUAGGGAAGAGUGUGAGCCAUGCGUCAAGAAAAGCCGCUAUUGUUUGUAUCGCGCCCGUACCGUAAACCGACACAGGUGGAUGAGGAGAGAAUCCUAAGGCCGACGGGAGAAGCAUUGUUAAGGAACUCGGCAAAAUGACUCCGUAACUUCGGGAGAAGGAGUGCCACUGAGAGGUGGCCGCAGAGAAUUGGCCCAAGCAACUGUUUAGCAAAAACACAGGUCUAUGCAAAACCGAAAGGUGAAGUAUAUGGGCUGACGCCUGCCCGGUGCUGGAAGGUUAAGGGGAGAGGUUAGCGCAAGCGAAGCUUUGAACUUAAGCCCCAGUAAACGGCGGCCGUAACUAUAACGGUCCUAAGGUAGCGAAAUUCCUUGUCGGGUAAGUUCCGACCCGCACGAAAGGCGUAAUGA